rnacentral:lncRNA from 1 species
GGGCGAGGGCGCAUGCGCGGGGGGGGGGGGAACCCACACGUGCACCGAGCGGCCCCGGCCUCAGCCAGGGCUCAGUUUAUCGGUGCCACACGUGCACUGAGCGGCUCCGUCCUCAGCCGCAGCUCAGU